rfam:TPA: Bos taurus chromosome 3, whole genome shotgun sequence.
UCCUUGGUGGUUCAGUGGCUAAGACACUAUGCUCCUGAUAUAGUGAAUGCAGGUUCAAUCCCUGGUCAGGGAA